ensembl:lncRNA
GCCGCACCUCCCUGCUGCCCGGCGUGGGAAGAAGAACGCGGAGCCAGCUGGAAGGGAGGAGGCUGGCCAGGGGAGGCAGGAGCCGACGACCCAGAAUAGCAAAGAAGACAGAAGCUAAGCACACCCAGAGCUGCUUUUAGCCGGCAAUGAGGAUCUUCUUGGGAACAAAUGACUCAGCAACCUGAAUCUCUGGGACUGAGUAGCCUAACUGCCUUGAGAGUGAUUGGACGCAUCCACCUAGGCCCUAAAAUUCUGAACCCUGGAAGAGUGGAGAUCCUCUAGAUUCGUCAAGCUGCCAUUCAGUUCAGUUUCUCUCACUCCUGCCCCAAUAGAAGACUCGCAACUCAUGGGGUAAGCAGGCAAUGUUCUAAUUAUGCAUUUUCGUCCUUAAGAAAU